ACUUUUUAUUGAAGUGGGCCUGAUCAACGACGGCCCAUAUCCACACCCUAUAAAAUAUCUGUUCGAAAUUCAAUUUCAAACCACAACCCAUUCAAAAUUCGAUUUCGUAUUUCGAAUCCCCAACCAAUUCCCAAAAUAUCCUCCAACCAUCCAACAACCUAUUCAAAAUUCGAUUUUGAAUUUCGAAUCCCCAACCAACUCCCAAAAUAUCUUCCAACUACCCAACAAUCGAUUCAAAAUUUGAUUUCAAAUUUCGAAUCCCCAACCAAUUCCCAAAAUAUCCUCCAGCCAUCUAAUAACCCAUUCAAAAUUCGAUUUCGAAUUUCGAAUCCCCAACCAACUCUAAAAAUAUCUUCCAAUCAUGCAACAACCCAUUCAAAAUUCGAUUUCGAAUUUCGAAUCCCCAAGCAACUCCAAAAAUAUCUUCCAACCAUCCAAUAACAUAUUCAAAAUUCGAUUUUGAAUUUCGAAUCCCCAACCAACUCCAAAAAUAUCCAACAACCGAUUCAAAAUUCGAUGUUGAAUUUCGAAUCCCCAACCAAUUUCCAAAAUAUCCUCUAACCAUCCAACAACCGAUUCAAAAUUCGAUUUCCCCAACCAACCCCCGAAAUAUCUUCCAACCAACCAUAAUAACCGAUUCAAAAUUCGAUUUCGAAUUUCGAAUUCCCAACCAACCCCCAAAAUAUCUUCCAACCAAUCACAACAACCGAUUCAAAAUUCGAUUUCGAAGUUCGAAUUCCCAACCAACCCCAAAAUAUCUUCCAACUAACCACAACAACCGAUUCAAAAUUCGAUUUCGAAUUUCGAAUUCUUAACUGACUCCUCAAAAUAUCUCUCGCCACCUCUCCUAUUAUAAAUAUGAGAAUCGAAAUCAAACGUCGGACGAUAAAAGAAGAAGGGAAAAAAAAUAGAUAGAUUGCUAUACACGUUCUGACGUACAAAAAAUUCAAAGGAAGAGAGAUCGCCGAGCCGCCGAA
rnacentral:lncRNA from 1 species